AUGGACGCAAGUCUGAUGGAGCAACGCCGCGUGAGUGAAGAAGGGUUUCGGCUCGUAAAGCUCUGUUGGUAGUGAAGAAAGAUAGAGGUAGUAACUGGCCUUUAUUUGACGGUAAUUACUUAGAAAGUCACGGCUAACUACGCGCCAGCAGCCGCGGUAAUACGUAGGUGGCAAGCGUUGUCCGGAUUUAUUGGGCGUAAAGCGAGUGCAGGCGGUUCAAUAAGUCUGAUGUGAAAGCCUUCGGCUCAACCGGAGAAUUGCAUCAGAAACUGUUGAACUUGAGUGCAGAAGAGGAGAGUGGAACUCCAUGUGUAGCGGUGGAAUGCGUAGAUAUAUGGAAGAACACCAGUGGCGAAGGCGGCUCUCUGGUCUGCAACUGACGCUGAGGCUCGAAAGCAUGGGUAGCGAACAGGAUUAGAUACCCUGGUAGUCCAUGCCGUAAGCGACGAGUGCUAAGUGUUGGGAGGUUUCCGCCUCUCAGUGCUGCAGCUAACGCAUUAAGCACUCCGCCUGGGGAGUACGACCGCAAGGUUGAAACUCAAAGGAAUUGACGGGGGCCCGCACAAGCGGUGGAGCAUGUGGUUUAAUUCGAAGCAACGCGAAGAACCUUACCAGGUCU
rnacentral:rRNA from 1 species